ensembl:lncRNA
CAAUAAUGUUCAUGUACCUUGGAUAACUGCAUGAGCCCUUAUGGCACACUACAAUUCAGUACAUUUUUGGUCAUUACCUUACACUGAAUAGAAUCAGCCAGGGUUGCAUAGUCCGGACAGUAGCUGCUGGUAGCCAGCCUCAAGUAGGCCUCCGAAUGAUGAUCAGUCAUUGUGGAACGGUAUUAGGACUUAAUAAUCUUCAUGUGGAAAAAGGCUGAAUCACAUAAAUAAGUAGAGCCAAAUAAUGCAGUCAAGGAGGUUGCACAUUUCCUCAUGUUUGGGUACUUUUCCCCUGUGAGUAAGUUCCAAAACUGUCCAUGAGCCCUGGACUUCAGCUGAAUGAUACUCUGUAGUUUCAAAAUGUCAUCCUCCACUUCAGACGAGUUCAGGUGAAACAGCGUUGCAAUUUUCGAUGCGAGUGAAUCAACCUCAACUUUGUCCCUAAAUGGGUAGCACAUGAAUGUAGCGACUGGCUCCAGUAAAGCAAAGUCUUGAAAGCGUCUGUCAAACUCUGACCGACAGCUGUCAAUCUGCUCCGUGUAGCAUGCAAUGUUCAAUUGCGCACAAGCCGCAAUUCCGCUGCGUCUUCAGAUCUGACGCGAGAUUUUGGAAGUUGCCAAAAUCAUGGCGCUGCAGCUUUGAGGACAGAAGUUGCAUUUUCCGUUUAAAGGCAUUAAAUGAGCUGAUCAUAUUGACCACGGUUUUGUCUUUUCCUUGCAGCUCCAAAUUAAACUCAUUUAAUAUGUUGUUCAGAUCGGUUAAAAAUGCCAAGUCCAGCAGCCACUGAUCAUCAUUGAGUUGGGUGCAUUCUGCAUGUUUAACAGCAAAAAGAAACUCCUUUAUCUCCGGACAGAGCUCUCGAAAUCUCUACAGGAAUUUACCCCUACUAAGCCAUCCAACGUCAGUGUGGAGUAGGAGCUCAGAGUGGUCUCAGUCUGCCUUCUCCAGAUGUGCACGGAACAGCCCUCUUUGACGUGAUCUAGCACGUAUAGAACAGGCGAUCUUUGUUGCCACAUCCAUGAUCUCUUUCAUGCUUAGCAUUUUUGCGCAUAAGGCUUGUUGGUGUAUUAUGCAAUGGUAGUUAAGGAAGUCAGGGAAACCAUCGUCUUCCCUGCACUUGGCAAUGAAUCCAUUUGCGCUGCCAACCAUUGUGGGCGCACCGUCCGUGGUGACUGAUACCAAUUUGUACACUGGGAGCUGGGUUUUGUCAAUGAAGUCUUUAAAAAACUGAAAAAUGUCCUCUCCCCACGAUUUCGCUCGCUAGCCUUUAGCGCUGGCGUGUUUGAUCGCACGCUUGUUGAGAGAAUAGACGAGAUCUCAGACUGGCUGCCCUGUACGUCAACGCUAACAUCUAUUUUUUAUUUUUGAAUGGCGAUCUACCCGCACUUCCUUUGCGAUCGACCGGUUGGGCACCCCUGGUGUAGUGCAAUACACGCUCUCUACAAAGAGUGUAGCCCCUACAUAGUGCACCGUACGCUCACUACACAGAGUUGAGCCGCUACAUAGUGCACCGUACGCUCACUACACGGAGUGUAGCCGCUACA